ACAAGUCUCACAGCUUCAUGCCGGUCGAUGAAGCUGUUGAAACCUACAAGGCUGAGAUCAAAUCUUCCUUAGAAUCUCUCACUCAAAAUAAAUUGGCGUUGGAACAAAUGGAACAGCAACAGAAGCAGAAGAUUUGUGGAGUUCUGGAACAGUCACAGUAUCUGCAGUCCCACAUCAGGCCCC